rnacentral:rRNA from 1 species
AACGAACGCUGGCGGCGUGCUUAAGACAUGCAAGUCGAACGGUAAGGCCCCCUUCGGGGGGUACACGAGUGGCGCACGGGUGAGUAACACGUGGGUACUCUACCUUCGGGUCUGGGACAACUCCGGGAAACUGGAGCUAAUACCGGAUGAGACCACGAGGUCCUCGGACGCCGCGGAAAUAGAUGGCCUCCCCUUGGAAGCUCUCGCCUGUCGAUGAGCUCCCAUCCCAUUAGCUAGUUGGUGAGGUAACGGCUCACCAAGGCAACGAUGGGUAGCUGGGCUGAGAGGACGACCAGCCACACUGGAACUGAGACACGGUCCAGACUCCUACGGAGGCAGCAGUCGGGAAUUUUGGGCAAUGGGCGAAAGCCUGACCCAGCAACGCCGCGUGAGGGAUGAAGGCCCUCGGGUCGUGAACCUCUGUCGGAAGGGAAGAACGGUCGCAAGGUGAACAAUCUUGGGGCCUGACGGUACCUUCAGAGGAAGCGCCGGCUAACUCCGUGCCAGCAGCCGCCGUAAUAC